rnacentral:rRNA from 1 species
CCUACGGGAGGCAGCAGUAGGGAAUAUUGCUCAAUGGGGGAAACCCUGAAGCAGCAAAGCCGCGUGGAGGAUGAAGGUUUUCGGAUUGUAAACUCCUUUUGUUAGAGAAGAAAAUGACGGUAUCUAACGAAUAAGCAACGUCUAACUCCGUUCCAGCAGCCGCGGUAAUACGGAGGGAGCAAGCGUUAUUCGGAUUCAAUGGGCGUAAAGGGCGCGUAGGCGGGAUAGCAGGUCAGAUGUGAAAUUCUAUGGCUUAACCAUAGAAUUGCAUUUGAAACUGUUAGUCUAGAGUAUGGGAGAGGUAGGUGGAAUGCUUGGUGUAGGGGUAAAAUCCAUAGAGAUCAAGAGGAAUACUGAUUGCGAAGGCGACCUGCUAGAACAUAACUGACGCUGAUGCGCGAAAGCGUGGGGAGCAAACAGGAUUAGAUACCCUUGUAGUC